UUUAAAGAUCCCUGCAUUUCUCUUCCAGAAAUAUUUCAUAUAUAUAUAUAUCAAAGUUUGAUCUUUUUUCCUUACUCUUAAAACUUUGUUCUUUUUUUCUGUUCAUAAUAAGAAAAUUAAGAUUUGGGUUUCGUUUUUUUUUAUGGAUUUUUUGUUUUUGAUUCAGUGUUUCCCACCUGUGUUUGGAGGAUUUCGAGAGAUUCUGGGGUUAAGGUUAGAUACUGUGUUUCUUCAGCAGCUUUGGUUUAAACUCUCUCUCUUUCGGUAGAUUUUA